rnacentral:rRNA from 1 species
GACGAACCGAGCGAACGUUGUUCGGAAUCACUGGGCUUAAAGGGCGCGUAGGCGGGCUAUCAAGUCCGGGGUGAAAUCCUCCAGCUUAACUGGAGAACGGCCUCGGAUACUGAUGGUCUCGAGGAAGAUAGGGGCACGCGGAACUGUGGGUGGAGCGGUGAAAUGCGUUGAUAUCCAUAGGAACUCCGGUGGCGAAGGCGGCGUGCUGGAUCUUUUCUGACGCUGAGGCGCGAAAGCCAGGGGAGCAAACGGG